GCUAGCGUUGUUCGGAAUUACUGGGCGUAAAGCGCACGUAGGCGGCUUUGCAAGUCAGAGGUGAAAGCCCGGGGCUCAACCCCGGAAUUGCCUUUGAGACUGCAUCGCUAGAAUUGUGGAGAGGUAAGUGGAAUUCCGAGUGUAGAGGUGAAAUUCGUAGAUAUUCGGAAGAACACCAGUGGCGAAGGCGACAUACUGGCUCAUUACUGACGCUGAGGCGCGAAAGCGUGGGGAGCAAACAGG
rnacentral:rRNA from 1 species